CUUACUUCCAUUUACUGUAUGUCACUUUCCUUUUUCUGUCCAUAAAUCAUCUUCCACUAUGUCUCUGUGCUGGAGUCCCAGUGCCUGCUCUAGCUCAGGAGGCUGCCUAAUUCGUGAAUCAUCCAUUGCGCAAUUAAACUUCUUUAAAUUUAAUUUGGCUGAAGUUUUUCUUUUAACAGAUGGCAUCAGAAGUGAGAUCCAAAGUAGAGCUUCUAACGACCCCCAGGAGCGCUGAGUGACAAAGCAAUGUACUCAACCACCUGUUGUGCCCAUCGCUCGAGCUCUCAGAGCAGCUGGGGAUUGUGGAUUAGGCAUGUACAGGACCAUGGAACAUGGGGAACUUUUGCUGCCCAAACGGGGAAACAUGAGAGCUAAUGGGACUGCUGAAAAUGAUCCCUUUGUGACCAGCAAGCAGCUACCUGAAUUUUUGUCAACUGGAUAGCUUUUCUCCAUUUUGUCUUCUUGCCACUGUUGAUGCACACAUGAGAGGAAAUAAAAUAACUUCUAACAGCUCGUUACUCCAAUAAAAUAACUUACCAGGUUUUUUUUACCACAAAUAAAAAUUGCUAAGAGUUAACAUUGUAACAUGAAAUCAAGACUACUGAAAAAACAGUUUUACAUGCAAGGUAUGUGAAGAAAGUGAAAUGUGCUUUUAGUAAAAGAUCAUAAGAAGGCCCUGGAAUGUAAAUUUUUGCCUAGUAAGAUAGAAUAAAGCUAAAUGUUUGAGCAAGUUGUUGAAGG
rnacentral:lncRNA from 1 species